UAAACUGCCUAAUCAAAGCAAUUAUCCAAAAAAAAAGGGAAUAUCAUCACCGAAUAUUGGAUAAUGAUAACCGUCAAGGAGGGGAUUACAUCUACCGGAUACUGGGUAGAAAACCACGGAAGAGUAACCGUCAUCGAUUAGGAUGAACAAAAAGAUUAACUCUGCAAAGGGGAGAAAAUAAGGUUUACAACUACCGGUAUAAGGGUAGAAAACCACAGACUCCGCCGAGGAUAAGAG
rnacentral:lncRNA from 1 species